ensembl:lncRNA
CUCAGCACCACCUUUCUCUGGAUCUUCCUUCACCUGCAAACUGAAGGUGUUUAUUCUAGAACAUUCUCCCAGGCCUCCUCCAGCUGCUGCAUUCUGUCUCCUUCCGUUCUCAUUUCCAGUUUUGUGCCCAAUGCACAUGUCAUACCUAAUCUGGGUCUGCUCGGCACAGCUGUGCAUGCUGUCACCUCACACCUUCCUGAGAGGGGGCCCCGGGUGCUGAGAAAUCUAAAAAGAGAUUUUUAGACACAAAAACUUAGAGUUUCAUGAGCUGUUGAGAAUGAGGUAGUUCCUCCUCCUCGGACUCCUAAAGAAAGCAGAAGCCAUUACCUUUCAUCCACUGAUGUUUGACACCAUAUCCCGAGGGUCACUUCCAAGGAGCAAAAACAGGCAUGGUGUCAGAGCCCCCUCCCUUAAGGUCCUUGUCAGCACCCUAGCCUUGCUUACCUGAUCUAUGCCUGCACCCUCCUGGGUGGUGGCAGAGAGAAAACCACACCCAACUGCUGAUGCUGGUCAGCUCUGGCCAAGAUCCCCAAAGUAAGGACGCCUCCAGCUACGUCCUGAUUGUGCCCUGCUCAGUGAAAGCUGAGCCCCAGAAAGCAACCAGGUACCUCUCCCAGCCAACAGAAGACAUCCUUGGGUCCAGCCAGGUGACGGUGUGGGCUGUGGAGCCCACAACACAGGAUCCCCCGCUGCCAGGAUGCCUCUUUUUUCUGGGGGAGGGGGGCCUGGGGGCUUUCAACAUCUUCCCCACUCCACCCCACCCCCACUGGAGUAAUUUCUAUCGGGCCCUUUGUGAAGGUGGGGGACCCAACCCCUCUUUCCUGGCUUGGUGAGACUAAGGUGACAAAAACCAAUGUUCUGUUUCCCCUGAACCUUCUAGAUGCUGGGGCAUGGCUACUGGGGGACCUUGUUGGAAGGUGUCUCCGAGGGAGAGGGGCUGUGAUGCCUUUGGAUCUCUGUGCUGUUCGGGGGACUUGACCCUUUAUGUGUGAUGGGGCAUCCCUAACGGGCUUGCAGUGGUAGGAGGCAGAGGGUCAGGCACACGGGUACUCAUGGGGACGGUGUGACGUGGUGACGAGGAAGGAAAGCAUAAUGAGCCAGGGCAAGAGCACCAGACUGGCCCCGCUCUGCUCUCAUUCGUCCCGUAACCUGUCAUUGUCCCAUCCUCUCCCGGGACCUGGGCGUUUGUUGUCUGUCGAGUGGAAGUGCUCUUCAACUGGCAUUGCAUGCAGCAAGAGACCAGCUCUUGGGACAGGGGCCUCCAGGCAGCCUUGUGGACCCAGGGACAGUCAUUCAAAGGGACACAUGCCAUCCUUGGGGACGGGGCCCCAAAUCGGUAUCUCUGCCCUUCCCUUAGGAAGGGGACGAUGGGGCAGGAACAAACCCCUUCACAGACAGGAGCACAUCAGCAAACCCCAUGAAAACGGGAUUUUCUAACAAAAUAAACUUGCUUGUUUGCUCUGUUUUCUGUAACUUUUGCUAAAUACUUUAUACAUUUUUAAUGUUAAAAAGCUGUGUCUCCUCCAGCAUUCCUCAUCCCGGUAUGAAUGUGUUUAUUUCAUGUUGUAUAUCCUUCCAUCCCCUGGCUGCCUAGAUCGGUAAAUAAAGUUGAUGUACUAUAAUUUAUAAGUAACACUGUUGAAACUCUGAUCCCUACAGAGGCUAUAAUCCGCCCUUCCAACCCCACCCCCGUAAUAGCAUUCGUGUGUAUUAAUGCUGAAAAAUUAAAUGUUUAAAUUUUGAAGGCGUUUGCUCUAUAUAAUUGUUCUGCAUUAUUAUAAAGCAUUUUCAGGAAGUUAAAUGCUCUCAUUUUUUCCCCCUUUGGCUCUGUGUGUACACUUGAGAUGCUUAGAUUUCGUCCUGUGUAAAA